rnacentral:rRNA from 1 species
GAUGAACGCUGGCGGCGUGCCUAAUACAUGCAAGUCGAGCGAACAGACGAGGAUCUUGCUCCUCUGACGUUAGCGGCGGACGGGUGAGUAACAUGUGUAUAACCUACCUAUAAUACUGGUAUAACUUCGGGAAACCGGAGCUAAUACCGUAUAAUAUAUUGAACCGCAUUGUUCAAUAGUUAAAUUCGGUUUUUCUGUCACUUAUAGAUGGAUCCCCGCCGCAUUAUAUAGUUGGUAAGGUAACGGCUUAUCAAGGCAACGAUGCGUAACCGACCUGGGAGGGUGAUAGGCCACCAUGGAAGUGAGACACGGUCCAGAUUCCUACGGGAGGCAGCAGUAGGGAAUCUUCCGCAAAGGGCGAAAGCCUGACGGAGCAACGCCGAGUGAGUGAUGAAGGUGUUCGGAUCGUAAAACUCUGUUAUUAGGGAAGAACAACUGUGUAAGUAAAUAUGCACGUCUUGACGGUACCUAAUAAGAAAGCCACGGCUAACUACGUG